rnacentral:rRNA from 1 species
GAUGAACGCUGGCGGCGUGCCUAAUACAUGCCAGUCGAGCGAACGGACGAGAAGCUUGCUUCUCUGAUGUUAGCGGCGGACGGGUGAGUAACACGUGGAUAACCUACCUAUAAGACUGGGAUAACUUCGGGAAACCGGAGCUAAUACCGGAUGAUAUUUUGAACCGCAUGGUUCAAAAGUGAAAGACGGUCUUGCUGUCAUUUAUAGAUGGAUCCGCGCUGCAUUAGCUAGUUGGUAAGGUAAUGGCUUACCAAGGCAACGAUGCAUAGCCGACCUGAGAGGGUGAUCGGCCACACUGGAACUGAGACACGGUCCAGACUCCUACGGGAGGCAGCAGUAGGGAAUCUUCCGCAAUGGGCGAAAGCCUGACGGAGCAACGCCGCGUGAGUGAUGAAGGUCUUCGGAUCGUAAAACUCUGUUAUUAGGGAAGAACAUAUGUGUAAGUAACUGUGCACAUCUUGACGGUACCUAAUCAGAAAGCCACGGCUAACUACGUG